rnacentral:rRNA from 1 species
UACGAAGGGUGCAAGCGUUAUUCGGAAUUACUGGGCGUAAAGCGUGCGUAGGUGGUUCGUUAAGUCUGAUGUGAAAGCCCUGGGCUCAACCUGGGAAUGGCAUUGGAAACUGGCGACCUAGAGUGCGGUAGAGGGUAGUGGAAUUCCCGGUGUAGCAGUGAAAUGCGUAGAGAUCGGGAGGAACAUCUGUGGCGAAGGCGACUGCCUGGACCAGCACUGACACUGAGGCACGAAAGCGUGGGGAGCAAACAGG